rnacentral:rRNA from 1 species
CCUACGGGAGGCUGCAGUGAGGAAUAUUGGUCAAUGGGCGCGAGCCUGAACCAGCCAAGUAGCGUGAAGGAUGACUGCCCUACGGGAUGUAAACUUCUUGUAUAAAGGAAUAAAGUGAGGCACGUGUGCCUGUUUGUAUGUACGUUAUGAAAAAGGAUCGGCUAACUCCGUGCCAGCAGCCGCGGUAAUACGGAGGAUCCGAGCGUUAUCCGGAUUUAUUGGGUUGAAAGGGAGCGUAGAUGGGUUGUUAAGUCAGUUGGGAAAGUUUGCGGAUCAACCGGAACAUUGCAAUUGAUACUGGCAGCCUUGAGUACAGUUGAGGUAGGCGGAAUUCGUGGUGUAGCGGU